GAUGAACGCUAGCGGCAGGCUUAACACAUGCAAGUCGAGGGGUAGAGGAAGCUUGCUUCCUUGAGACCGGCGCACGGGUGCGUAACGCGUAUACAAUCUACCUUUUACAGAGGGAUAGCCCCAGAGAAAUUUGGAUUAAUACCUCAUAGUAUUUUCGGAUCGCAUGAUUUGAUUAUUAAAGUUCCAACGGUAAAAGAUGAGUAUGCGUCCAUUAGCUAGAUGGUAAGGUAACGGCUUACCAUGGCAAUGAUGGGUAGGGGUCCUGAGAGGGAGAUCCCCCACACUGGUACUGAGACACGGACCAGACUCCUACGGGAGGCAGCAGUGAGAAUAUUGGACAAGUGGGCGCAAGCCUGAUCCAGCCAUGCCGCGUGC
rnacentral:rRNA from 1 species